ACUAUUCACACCCUGAGAAAGGCAUCAUUAGGCAAUUUCAUCACGAUGCAAACACCACUGAAUGUACUUACACAAACCUAGAAGACACAAACUGCUUAUCGUACUAUAUGAUAUAGAUAUGGUAUAUCCAUGUCUGUGGCUCCAAGGAUCACAGUGAGUGAAACACAAGAUUAAGUCAAGCACAAGAGAAAAUGUUGUAAUCAAGAAAUGUGAUAAAGGCAAGACAUUCAAGGCCACUGCCUACACAGCAUGGCACAUUGUUUGACAGCAAACUUUUUAUACAAGUAAAAGGAGAAUGCUCUAUAAUAAUGACUGGAAAGUAUAUUCCUGCGUGCUUUGUGACUCUGCCCGUUGGAAGAGGAGGCCUGUGAACUGGCCUCUGUGACUGCUUGGCUGAUGGAAUAUGACAGAAGUGCUGCUGUACCAGUCUCCACGCACAGACCUUUAGGAGCUGGCCACUUCCACUUCCCGUCUCUUAGGCUGCUUGCUCUCCGAAGUCACCAGCAUACUUGGAAGCAGCUCAAAGUAGCCCACCUGGGGUGAACACAUGGUGAGGAUGGGUUAGCAUGAAAAGGGAGGGAUGCUGGCCGGUUUCCACCUGCUCCUGCCUCUCGUGCUUCCAGCAUGCGCCACUAGGCUCCACCAAAGAGUUCUGCUGAUCUUACUGGGGUCUCUCAUGUGCUGCACUGAGUAGCUGUCUGGAGCUGGGGCCAUGUGAAGCCUUGACUAUGAUGGAGGGAUGGUUGGCCUUCUUCCUCUGCAUAACCUCAAUGGCUUUCCAUGCAGCUACCUUUGACUUAAGCACAGCAUGGUGAUAUCAAAGGAAUUGAACUUUCUCCAUGGCAUCUGGCUCCCUCAAAUAAUGGAUAUUGCAAAACAAGACAGAAGCUUCCAAGCUUUUUAAAUGCCUGGAUCAGAAGUCUUGAUGCCAGCUCAGAUUCGAUGCCUAGGGUAUUACAGCGAAGGCGUGACUACCAUGAGGUCUGGCUCAAUGAUAGGGGCAUCUUUGAAGACUGGAUGGUUAUGGUAGACAUUGAGGCUUUAUAAGCAGGUGGGGGGUUUGGAGGAAAAAAAAAACAAUUAUUCUAAGUAGACUAGGUCAAGAAGGCAUGAUCCAUAUCCUUUCUGGGUGACACCACAAGUAUCUGGGACAGGCGUGAAGACUGCUCAUAUCCCUAGGGGAGGUGCAAGAGCCUUGUGGCUGAAGCACAGAGAGUCUGCCCAUAUACACCAGCAGCCAGUGCUACAUCAAUAGAGAAGCUUCAGUAUGAUCUCGAUUUCCUCUGCCGCAUUCUAACACAACCUCCUCAUGUCCCACAGGAGCAAUAAAAUAAAUACCUGCUGGAAACAAAGCAGGACAUGAAA